GAUGAACGCUGGCGGCGUGCUUAACACAUGCAAGUCGAACGGAAAGGCCCAAGCUUGCUUGGGUACUCGAGUGGCGAACGGGUGAGUAACACGUGGGUGAUCUGCCCUGCACUUCGGGAUAAGCCUGGGAAACUGGGUCUAAUACCGGAUAGGACCACAUUUUGGAUGGUGUGGUGGAAAGUUUUUCGGUGUGGGAUGAGCUCGCGGCCUAUCAGCUUGUUGGUGGGGUAAUGGCCUACCAAGGCGUCGACGGGUAGCCGGCCUGAGAGGGUGUACGGCCACAUUGGGACUGAGAUACGGCCCAGACUGCUACGGGAGGCAGCAGUGGAGAAUAUUGCACAAUGGGCGCAAGCCUGAUGCAGCGACGCCGCGUGGGGGAUGACGGCCUUCGGGUUGUAAACUCCUUUCGCUAGGGACGAAGCGCAAGUGACGGUACCUGGAGAAGAAGCACCGGCUAACUACGUG
rnacentral:rRNA from 1 species